rnacentral:rRNA from 1 species
AUUGAACGCUGGCGGCAUGCUUUACACAUGCAAGUCGAGCGGUAACAGGCCUUCGGGUGCUGACGAGUGGCGAACGGGUGAGUAAUGCAUCGGAACGUACCCAGAGGUGGGGGAUAACGCAGCGAAAGCUGUGCUAAUACCGCAUGUGAUCUGAGGAUGAAAGCGGGGGACCGAGCAGCAAUGUUUGGCCUCGCGCCUUUGGAGCGGCCGAUGUCGGAUUAGCUAGUUGGUGGGGUAAAGGCCUACCAAGGCGACGAUCCGUAGCUGGUCUGAGAGGACGACCAGCCACACUGGGACUGAGACACGGCCCAGACUCCUACGGGAGGCAGCAGUGGGGAAUUUUGGACAAUGGGCGCAAGCCUGAUCCAGCAAUGCCGCGUGCGGGAAGAAGGCCUUCGGGUUGUAAACCGCUUUUGGCAGGAACGAAACGGUGUCUGCUAAUACCGGGCGCUAAUGACGGUACCUGCAGAAUAAGCACCGGCUAACUACGUG